GAUCGAGCCAGACCAGCCCUGCUCCGAUGCGGCUCGCAGACCACCCGAUGUAAUUUUUGUUUGGUUUAUUAUUAGGUUGCCUGUUUCUUUUUGAUCGUGGGGAUCCGGGUAUCCCGCCGUGUUUCUGGGAACUGCCUCCGCGAAGCCCUCCUAGCUCGCCAGAUCCGGCGACCUCUGGCUCCUCACCGCUGCCGCCAUGGAGAUCCCGCGUCUCCGCGCCCUUGUCACCUCCUGCUCGCCAACCCACGGCGACCCAGCUCCCCCACUUCAAUUCCUUCUCCUCCCUUGCCGGCGUUCCCGAAUUCCAGGCGGCGCGCGUGGCAAGCCCCGAGGUAAGCUGUGCGCGGGGCGAUUCCCGGUGGAUGGAAACGCGUCGAAGAGCUCGCACGCGCGGCGUUUCUAUGGCGAUUCCGUCAUCGCUGCUCCAUCUGUCCACUAUCCUCGGCGUCCUUUUCAACACCGCCGCCCCAGUUAUAGGUCCUUUCUUCGGCUUCAGCCCCUGGGGAAUUUUUGUGUGGUGGUUCAUGUAUCCUCUUGCAAGGAACAGGAGGGUUGUGCAUCAGGUCACGAGAGCUCUCUCCAACCUAGUGGAUCGUCUCUUCAACAUGAGCAUUCAUAAUUAUGGAGAAGAUGCCGUUCAAAUUUGGACAGGCAGAAAGCACACUGAAGUUCUGAUGGCACAGUUUGGCAAUGUAUCGAUAUUUCUUUUAGCUCGAUGUCAUAGGAAAAUUCUUCAGAGCAACAUAGUAUUAGGCGACCAAGGUGGAAGUACUGCUCUGUGCUGCAGGUGGUGGCACAUGGUGGCUGUGCCAGCACCACGGAUAAUGCUAGGCAUACUACACUCGCAGCUUCGGCGGUUGGUGCCAUCUGUUCGCAUGGCUGGUAGUCUCAUUGGCCAGAGUUUUGACAACAAGUGGUGGGGGAUUCAAUGGCGAGUGGGUGGACUCGGAUGCGAGUGGUGUGGCAGGUUCCCUUCAUGCUGCCGGUGUUCUACACCGGAGAAGAUGUCCCGGUUGGCCUCAACCUCGAAAGGCGAGCAUGUACCUCUUGCCGCACUCCACCCACAAGAGUCAACAAGCCAUGGUGGGAUCGGGCAACAAAUUGGGGGACGGAAGAAGAUAUAUGCAUAGGACUUGGAGACAAAGAGGAAGUAUCUGACGGCAAUAUUGCGCAGAUGAGAAAAUGUGUGUUGUUUGUAUUCAUGUUGUACCUAGCCUUUUGUCACCUGAGGUGAGCUCAAGCCUGAAUCCACGUUUGGAGAAUUGAGACUUAUUUACGGAGGUGCCUACAAGGUUUGAGGACACGACGAAGGACUUUAUUACUGAACAUGGGCGUCGAUACAGUCCUUAGUACUUGUAUUGAGCCUUUUCUAAUUUUUAUGUGUUCGGCACAUUGAUUGUGAGGCGGCUGUGUGCAUCUUGAUUAUACAGAGGCUGGGUGUAUUUCUUAAACCUUUUAAGUAAUAAUGAAGCACCUUUUAUCAAAAAAAAAAUAUAUAUUGCCUUGGCAA